rnacentral:misc_RNA from 1 species
UGGCGCGUGGUGCACGUCGCGGGUCACGGCGAGCCCGUGAGCGCAAAGGGUGACCGCGGCGGCGUGGUGCUGUCGAACGACACGUUCCUCGGCGCCAGCGAGAUCAAGGCGAUGCGCGUGGUGCCGGAGCUCGUGUUCGUCAACUGCUGCCACCUGGCGGCCGGAGCGCGCAGCGCGCUGCUGCGCGAGUCGCAGCGGGGCGUCUACAACCGCGCGGCGUUCGCCUCGAGCGUCGCGCAGGCGCUCAUCGAGAUCGGCGUCCGUUGUGUGGUCGCGGCGGGCUGGGCCGUGCACGACGACGCCGCGAGCGCGUUCGCGACGACGUUCUACGACGCGCUGCUCAGAGGGCAGCGAUUCAUCGACGCCGUAGCCGAAGCGCGCACCAGGGCCUACGAGUUCG